rnacentral:rRNA from 1 species
UACGGAGGGUGCAAGCGUUGUCCGGAAUCACUGGGCGUAAAGGGCGCGUAGGCGGCUCAUGAAGGCUGUGGUGAAAGUCCGGGGCUCAACCUCGGAUCGGCCGUGGCGACUCGUGGGCUGGAGCACUGUAGAGGCGGGUGGAAUUCCGGGUGUAGCGGUGGAAUGCGUAGAGAUCCGGAAGAACACCAGUGGCGAAGGCGGCCCGCUGGCAGUGGCUGACGCUGAGGCGCGACAGCGUGGGGAGCAAACAGG